UACGUAGGGGGCAAGCGUUAUCCGGAUUCAUUGGGCGUAAAGCGCGCGUAGGCGGUUUUCAUAAGUCGGGGUGUAAGAACGGAGCUCAACUCUGUUAUGCCCCCGAUACUAUAAGACUUGGGUUUCGCAGGGGAUGGCGGAACUCCCGGUGUAGCGGUGGAAUGCGCAGAUAUCGGGAGGAACACCGGUGGCGAAGGCGGCCAUCUGGGCGACAACCGACGCUGAGGCGCGAGAGCUAGGGGAGCGAACA
rnacentral:rRNA from 1 species